rnacentral:rRNA from 1 species
GACGAACGCUGGCGGCGUGCUUAACACAUGCAAGUCGAACGGAAAGGCCCUGCUUUUGUGGGGUGCUCGAGUGGCGAACGGGUGAGUAACACGUGAGUAACCUGCCCUCGACUUUGGGAUAACUUCAGGAAACUGGGGCUAAUACCGGAUAGGAGCUCCUGCUGCAUGGUGGGGGUUGGAAAGUUUCGGCGGUUGGGGAUGGACUCGCGGCUUAUCAGCUUGUUGGUGGGGUAGUGGCUUACCAAGGCUUUGACGGGUAGCCGGCCUGAGAGGGUGACCGGCCACAUUGGGACUGAGAUACGGCCCAGACUCCUACGGGAGGCAGCAGCGGGGAAUAUUGCACAAUGGGCGGAAGCCUGAUGCAGCAACGCCGCGUGCGGGAUGACGGCCUUCGGGUUGUAAACCGCUUUCGCCUGUGACGAAGCGUGAGUGACGGUAAUGGGUAAAGAAGCACCGGCUAACUACGUG